rnacentral:rRNA from 1 species
AAUCAACGCUGGCGGCGUGCCUAACACAUGCAAGUCGAACGCGAAAGCCCGCAAGGGUAAGUAGAGUGGCGCACGGGUGAGUAACACGUGGACAACCUGCCUUCGAGUGGGGAAUAACCUUCCGAAAGGAGGGCUAAUACCGCAUAACACCUCGGGACACAAGUUCUGGGGUUGAAAAGAGCAAAUUUGCUCGAAGAGGGUCCGCGCCUGAUUAGCUAGUUGGUGAGGUAACGGCUCACCAAGGCUUCGAUCAGUAGCCGUCCUGAGAGGGAGCACGGCCACACUGGAACUGAGACACGGUCCAGACUCCUACGGGAGGGCAGCAGUGGGGAAUUUUUGGCAAUGGGCGAAAGCCUGAACCAAGCAACGCCGCGUGGGUGAUGAAGUAUCUUGGUACGUAAAACCCUUUCGGCAGGGACG